rnacentral:rRNA from 1 species
UACGUAGGGUGCAAGCGUUAAUCGGAAUUACUGGGCGUAAAGCGCGCGCAGGCGGCGGUGUUGGCCCGGCGUGAAAGCCCCGGCUCAACCGGGGAGAGUCGUCGGGGACCGCACCGCUUGAGGGCGGUAGGGGCUGGUGGAAUGCCUGGUGUAGUGGUGAAAUGCGUAGAGAUCAGGCAGAACACCUGGGCGAAGGCGGCCAGCUGGGCCGUCCUGACGCUGAGGCGCGAAGGCGUGGGGAGCGAACGG